UAGGGAAUCUUCGGCAAUGGACGAAAGUCUGACCGAGCAACGCCGCGUGAGUGAAGAAGGUUUUCGGAUCGUAAAACUCUGUUGUUAGAGAAGAACAAGGACGUUAGUAACUGAACGUCCCCUGACGGUAUCUAACCAGAAAGCCACGGCUAACUACGUGCCAGCAGCCGCGGUAAUACGUAGGUGGCAAGUGUUGUCCGGAUUUAUUGGGCGUAAAGCGAGCGCAGGCGGUUUCUUAAGUCUGAUGUGAAAGCCCCCGGCUCAACCGGGGAGGGUCAUUAGAAACUGGGGGAAUUGAGUGCAGAAGAGGAGAGGGGAAUUCCAUGUGUAGCGGAGAAAUGCAUAGAUAUAUGGAGGAACAACAGUGGAGAAGGCGGCUCUCUGGUCUGUAACUGACGCUGAGGCUAGAAAGCGUGGGGAGAAAACAGG
rnacentral:rRNA from 1 species